rnacentral:rRNA from 1 species
CUACGGGCUGCUCCAGUGGGGAAUAUUGGACAAUGGGGGAAACCCUGAUCCAGCAAUGCCGCGUGUGCGAUGAAGGCCUGCGGGUCGUAAAGCACUUUCGGUGGGGAAGAAAUGCUCAAAUAUAAUACAUUUGAGAGCUGACGUUACCCACAGAAGAAGCACCGGCAAACUCUGUGCCAGCAGCCGCGUGUAAUACAGAGGGUGCAAGCGUUAGUCGGAGUUACUGGGCGUAAAGGGCGCGUAGGCUGACGUUUAAGUCGGUUGUGAAAUCCCUGGGCUUAACCUAGGAAUUGCAGUCGAUACUGGACGUCUAGAGUAUGGUAGAGGAAAGUGGAAUUCUCGGUGUAGUGGUUAAAUACGUAGAUAUCGAGAAGAACACCAGUGGCGAAGGCGACUUUCUGGACCAAUACUGACGCUGAGGCGCGAAAGCGUGGGGAGCAAACAGGAUUAGAUACCCGAGUAGUC